AGUGAACGCUGGCGGUAGGCCUAACACAUGCAAGUCGAACGGCAGCACAGUAAGAGCUUGCUCUUACGGGUGGCGAGUGGCGGACGGGUGAGGAAUACAUCGGAAUCUACUUUUUCGUGGGGGAUAACGUAGGGAAACUUACGCUAAUACCGCAUACGACCUACGGGUGAAAGCAGGGGAUCUUCGGACCUUUCGCGAUUGAAUGAGCCGAUGUCGGAUUAGCUAGUUGGCGGGGUAAAGGCCCACCAAGGCGACGAUCCGUAGCUGGUCUGAGAGGAUGAUCAGCCACACUGGAACUGAGACACGGUCCAGACUCCUACGGGAGGCAGCAGUGGGGAAUAUUGGACAAUGGGCGCAAGCCUGAUCCAGCCAUGCCGCGUGGGUGAAGAAGGCCUUCGGGUUGUAAAGCCCUUUUGUUGGGAAAGAAAAGCAGCAGAUUAAUACCCCGCUGUUCUGACGGUACCCAAAGAAUAAGCACCGGCUAACUUCGUG
rnacentral:rRNA from 1 species